CAGAUCAUUUCCAGUUUCUGACUAUUACCAAUGAUUGCUUGUUUCCCAUGUCUUAAUAAUCAAUACAACCUUCACUUGCUUCUUUUGCAACAUGAAGAUGAGAUUUGUGGUUUGAAAUGAUAUCUUAUAUUUUUCCUUUCUUUCUCCACAAGGAUUUUUUUUUCUUUCACUUGUAAAGGUUUCUGGAACCUAUAAAUAGAGCUACAUCACACAUCAAGUGGGACGGCAAGAGAGCUUGGAGCAACUUUUCUUUUUUCAGAGGGCAUUUGAAUGUUAUGCUCAGCAUGUCUGGCUCUUCUUAGCCAUCUUCAGCGAUUUCCUUAACACCCACCGAGAGUGUGUAUCCCAAUUACCUGCACGUUGUAGGAGACAGAAAGACUCUCAUCUACAGUCUUGGAUACCUGUCAUACAGCCGGAGACAAACGUUAAACGAAAUCGAUCAAAACCCCAGGCAGACACUACUCCAACCCCAGCGGCAGAAGGUCUGAUCAAGAAAGAAUAUAAGGCAGAUGUGGGCCAAGAAUGCCCUUGCAUAUCCGUGCUUUACAAAAUUGAUGCUGGCUGAAAAACGACUAAAAGCAAGGGCCGGUCUUCAACCUCUAUGGCGGCUAACACAGACACCGCUAGGCACCCAUCAUUUGCCAAACACUAGAUCCUACCAGAGCUCCCAACAGCUUUACCUCCCCAACCCAAAGACUGCACCCUUCGCCAUGUGAGUCGGCCCCUGCUGGUCAGGACAGAGCAGAAAGGGAGCUGAAAGGAGUAAGCCUUGGUUUGCGAUCCUCCAUACCCCCAUCCCCCAAUCAGGUAGGUGGCGUGCACUUUUCUCUCUCCUCACCAGAAAUGUCCACCUCUCAGCUGCUUUGUUAAUCGCCAGCCUUCUCCGGUGCAACCUAGCGAGCUAUGCAAGCGCUCUCACACCCUUCACCUGGACGCGGCCAUGUUGCAGACAAUCGUACUACAUUUCCCAUGAGCCCACGGGGCUACCACAUCCCCCUCCGAAGCUCAAAUUCUUUGUUGACCCUUUCUCCCCCAAGUGUCUGUAAACUGUUGCUUGGAGCAGAAAAUUUGGCGCUUUAUUUGGGUGUAUAGUAAUCGUUGGAGUAGGACUUACAACUAUCACGUUACUAACCAGCACACUCCUUAACUACAUGCUAAACAUUUGCUCUUAUACUCACAGAUAACUGUAGUCUUCACCCUUUAUUAAGGGAACUUAUCUUUGUAAACCACACCAAUAGAAAUGCAGAGGUGUAGAGCUCAGUCUCAACUGACAUCUGCAGCACAACUCCUAUGCCUAACGCUCCGUACACUGCCGAGAAAAAAAUGGAGGCGGAGCAACGGAAGCUUACUGUGGAUUGUGUCUCCGGGGAACAUCAGAAGCCACACCCAUAGAGUCUCAGUAGCUUGACUGCCUAAACUGAACUGAACAAAGACAAUGAAAACAGCUGUGCUCGUGUGGUUAGGCAAAAAGUCGAGAAGGCCUAAACCCUACACAAAGAACAAUAUGCAAAUAAGGAAUUCUGAGAGCUAGAGAAAUACUCUUCUCCAGGGAAAAGCACGCCAAUUGUUUAUCCAACAAUGAAUGGUUAGCCUGAAAACACUUAAAUACAAGAAAGAUUAUACAAACAGUGCAGUUUGUAUUAGUGUAUAUAUGUACAAUUAAUAAAAUAAAUGAUGAAUUUGAAAGAGUAAGGAAGAGAGGUAUAGGAGAGGGUUUGGAGGGAGGAAAUGCAAUGAGUAAAUUAUAUUAUAAUCUAAAAAAACAGAAAGAGUAGAAACUAUAAAACAGAAGAAACUGGAUCUACUUCAGGAAAGAUAUUUCAAAGUAAAGUUUAAAUGGCAGAAAAAUUAGUUAGAGACAAUAAUUAUAUCCCUAUUAUGCGGUUGACUCAUGACAAAAAAAGAAACAGUAACACUAUUGUUUUUAAUUUGUAGAGUUUACUCAACUCCACAUUGUUAGGUCUCAAAGAAAGAGGGACAAAUCACUAACUGAAGUACCUACUAAAACAUCAAAGCAAAUGCUUGCAGCUCUCUGCAACAUUACUUAGUACUCUGUGGCCCCUCCCAGCACUGCUCACCUCUCCGCCUCCCCUAAAUCUUUCCAUCCCAGGAACUGGCCUUCUAGUUCCCUUUCCCCCCACUUACUGAUCUCCAUAUAACAUAGCUAUUUUGGACACUGGAUGUCUUGGCCUCUUGGCUCCUACCUGGUUCUGCUCCGGGAUCUCUCUUGGUAUACUUGCUUCCCUGUCUUCUCUCUUACCACCUCACAAACCCCAAAAGCCAAGCUCUGUUUGUUGGCCAUGUUCAGUAUAAACACUUCCAGAUGCUACAAUAAACAUCCUCUUCAAAA